AAUGAGAGUUUGAUCCUGGCUCAGGAUGAACGCUGGCGGCGUGUCUAAGGCAUGCAAGUCGAAUGCCGCAACUGUAGCGACGGGUUUUAAACCUGUCGCUACAGUUGCGGCAUGGCAGACGGGUGAGUAACACAUUGGUAACCUACCUCUAACUCGGGCAUAACUCGGAGAAAUCCGGGAUAAUUCCUGAUAGCCAUGGGGGGACAUAAGUCAUUCCCAUGUAAAGAUUUAUCGGUUAGAGAGGGGCCUAUGGCCCAUCAGCUUGUUGGUAAGGUAAAAGCUUACCAAGGCAAUGACGGGUAGCGGGUGUGAGAGCAUGACCCGCCUCACUGGGACUGAAAUACUGCCCAGACUCCUACGGGAGGCUGCAGUCAAGAAUCUUCCGCAAUGGCCGAAAGGCUGACGGAGCGACGCCGCGUGUAGGAUGACGCCCUUCGGGGUGUAAACUACUUUUCUCAGGGACGAAUUCGUGACGGUACCUGAGGAAUAAGUCACUGCUAACCUCGUGCCAGCCCCGCACCUCGAGUAUAUCUAGAGGUGGGUGGAGGCUGGUUAAGCGCGAGGUCAUUAUAGUAAUAUAAUGAAAGAAAAUUUCGCUAUAUGACCGGAACCCUAAAAAAGUUUAGGGAAGCCGGUAACGUCAAUAAAGUCGUGAGACUUAAGACGUUCUGGAAACUCUAUUAUCGGCCGCUGAUAGUUCCUAAUUUUUAGGACACGGUAAUAGACAAUCAGCAGGCAACUCCGUUAAACGGAGGCGCCUCAGAGACUACACGCGAAACCCCUACUUAAUAAAAUAAGAGGGUGAUGAUAUAGUCCAACCUAAAACCAUAAAUUGGUUACGGGGCCAGCAGCAGCGGUAAGACGAGGGUGGCUAGCGUUAUCCGGAUUUAUUGGGUGUAAAGCGUCCCUAGGCGGUUUGAUAAGUUUUUGGUUAAAUCUUUGAGCUCAACUCAAAGGCUGCUAAAAAAACUACCAGACUCCAAUGAAAGUUGGGAGUGCCUUUAUCGGAACGCGGUGACAGGUGCUGCAUGGUUGUCGUCAGCUCGUGUCGUGAGAUGUCAGGUUAAGUCCUUUAACGAGCGCAACCCUUACUCUGUGUUAAAUUAUUCACAGAGAACUGCCCCGGAUAACGGGGAGGAAGGUGGGGAUGACGUCAAAUCAGCAUGGCUCUUACGCCCUGGGCUACACACGUGCUACAAUGGCGAGUACAAAGGGUUUGCAAAACCGCAAGGUGAAGCUAAUCCCAUCAAAACUCGUCCCAGUUCGGAUUGAGGUCUGCAACUCGACCUCAUGAAGUUGGAAUCGCUAGUAACCGUGAAUCAGCCACGUCACGGUGAAUACGUUCUCGGACUUUGUACACACCGCCCGUCACAUCAAGAGAGUCGAUAGUACCCGAAAGCUGACAUUUUGUCGGACUAAGGUAAGAUCGAUGAUAGGGAUGAAGUCGUAACAAGGCAUCCGUAGCGGAAGCUGUGGAUGGAUCACCUCCUU
rnacentral:rRNA from 1 species